rnacentral:rRNA from 1 species
CCUACGGGGGGCAGCAGUGGGGAAUAUUGCACAAUGGGGGAAACCCUGAUGCAGCAACGCCGCGUGAAGGAAGACGGUCUUCGGAGUGUAAACUUCUGUUCUUAGAGAAGAAGAAUGACGGGAGCGAAGGAGCAAGCCACGGCUAACUACGUGCCAGCAGCCGCGGUAAUCCGGAGGUGGCAAGCGUUGUCCGGAAUUACGGGGUGGAAAGGGAGCGCAGGCGGGAAGCCAAGUCAGCUGUGAAAACUACGGGCUUAACUUGUAGACUGCAGUUGAAACUGGUUUUCUUGAGUGAAGUAGAGGUUGGCGGAAUUCCGAGUGUAGCGGUGAAAUGCGUAGAUAUUCGGCGGAACACCGGUGGCGAAGGCGGCCCACUGGGCUUUAACUGACGCUGAGGCUCGAAAGUGUGGGUAGCAAACAGGAUUAGAUACCCCAGUAGUC